CGGGGAUAUGUUAAGUCGAAAAUGUAUUAAAUGUUUAGCAAGGUGCUACGAUUCCUCUACGCCUGACAGAUGGAAAUAAUGCAAUGAUGUUCUUCUGUACCUGCAAGUCCCCCUCCCCUGCACACACACAUAACACAUUGAUAGUACAAGGGAGGAGGACAUUAGGGUGGAGCAGCGUUGCGUGCUGCAGCGAAUACUCUGUAGGUCGUUAACGCGCGCGGUUCGUCUGUUGCAGAACAGAUGUAGGUCGGUGUGUGUGUGUGAGUAAGAGAGGCGACAAUGAGCCGUAGCUGGUGUGUCUGUGUGUGAGAGGAGCGGGAGUAGAAGAGAGAAAUAGAGACAGACAGACAGACAUGGAGGACUCUGAGUCCGGUGGAGAAGAUGGUAUGGUCGGCGGCUGGCGGUGGAAUAACCGAAACACCGGAGCUCGAGACCAGACUCAGCUAAGGCAGAAGAUCCGGGAUUUACCGGGACUGUUGAAACAUGGACUGCACCUAAGGAAGAAAAGCCAGUCACCGGAUACCAUCCCCGGACCCAGCACCAGCCCUACUGUUCACAAGUCCUGCUCCCAGAGUUUCCCGUGUGCAGGGCGUGCGGUGAGGAAUGCGUUCCUGUCUCAUGGCCCAUACCCUGCUAAAGACAAGAUUCACCUCGCCAGGAUCAUAAGGUGGGAAUCUUUGAGAGUGUGUGUGAUAGACAUAGUGUGUGUGUGUGUGUGUGUGUGUGUGUGUGUGUGAUAGACAUAGUGUGUGUGUGUUAUAGACAUAGAGAAA
ensembl:lncRNA